rnacentral:misc_RNA from 1 species
GAUGAAGAGCGUAGCAAAAUGCGAUACUUGGUGUGAAUUGCAGAAUCCCGUGAACCAUCGAGUUUUUGAACGCAAGUUGCGCCCAAAGCCUUUUGGCCGAGGGCACGUCUGCCUGGGCGUCACGCAUCGCGUCGCCCCCCACAAUUCUUCGUAAAGGGAACAUGUGUUUUGGGGGCGGAUAUUGGUCUCCCGUGCUCAUGGCGUGGUUGGCCGAAAUAGGAGUCCUUUCGAUGGACGCACGAACUAGUGGUGGUCGUAAAAACCCUCGUCUUUUGUUUCGUGCUGUUGCUCGCAAGGUAAACUCUUUAAAAACCCCAAUGUGUCGUCUCUUGACGACGCUUCGACCGCGACCCCAGGUCAGGCGGGACUACCCGCUGAGUUUAAGCAUAUCAAUAAGCGGAGGA